GGGAAGCCGGUCCAAGCCCGGCGCUGACCCGCAACCGUAGGCGUUCCGAUCCAGGUCGGAGCGCGAGCCGGACC
rnacentral:ncRNA from 2 species